GGUGCUCGUAAGGGGCUUUACUCAGUGUAAUGAUCUCCGUCUCCACAUCCAUCGUAAGGCAGUAUCUCCACCAUCCCCAGUGCACGAAACCUUCACUAGUCAAGGGAGUCUGCUGGAGGAGACUUCGCCUGAGAAAUUCGGGUAAGUGGUGAACCUCGACGUGCCUCCAGGAUUCAUCGAAUCCAACAGUGAGCACGUCGAGAUGGAAGUCCUCUCGUGCGUGUGGUUCAUAGCGGCGAACAAAGGCUGGUCGAAUCACUUUAUAAGCCAAGGAAGCUGCAGAGUAUGCAAAACCAAACAGGAGCAGGCCACAGGCAACAAAGCCUGUAGGCAAUGGUGGGAGGUGGAAUGACUGCUUCGUUGCAGGAUUCACAAUCACAAGACGAGGGAAGUUACCUUCCAACUCCAGACCGUUGCAGGUAGCAAGAACUGUUAGUCAAAAGUGGCUGCCACCAACCUUCUUCACCAACCACCUCACACCAACCACCUCACACCAACCACCUCUCACCUACCACCUCCAAAUCUUCCUAUAAAUAGAGAGCUCUUCUGCAGCAUCCUAUACAACAACACCAAACAACCAUCAAAGCUUUCUGCUAGAGAGAGAUAGAGAAAGAGAGAGAGAGAAAAAUCUUGUGAGAGAAAACUUCAGUGUGGAAGUUAUACACGAGUGAUAAAAGUGAGUUGAGAGAUAGCCUCUGCGUAGGCAGAUACAAAAUACAGUGUGGUAAUUUUGUUGUACUCCUCCUUUUGAGAUUCUCUAAUAUAUUGGUGUGGGUCCGUGGACGUAGGCAGUUUGGCCGAACCACGUUAAAAAUAUCGGUGUCAUUUUUUCUUCUCGUUUCAUAUCGGUCGAUAUCCACAAUAUUGAGUCACACUUGAUCCCGGGCGGAAUUAGUUGCGUCUAAUUUCCCAACAACUGGUAUCAGAGCCACGUUGGUGGCGAAAUUUUUUUUUCUUGCGCUGGUACUAAUUUUGCGAACAGUGUUUCGUGCGCAACGGUAAUUAUUCUUUUAAAAUUCUUAGUAUGCUCUGUGGUUGCAGUGUAAACUGAACCUCCACAUCAGAAACGAAUUUUUUGAGAAAAUUAUCGUGUUUUUUGAUCGAGUGGGAGCAAUGUCGACAGACGAUAAAAUUUCCAAAAUGGAGAAAUUCAAUGGUGUGAAUUUUGGAUUUUGGAAAAUGCAAAUGGAGGAUUACUUGUACCAGAAGGACCUGUAUAAGCCCUUGAAGGAAAAGCCAGUGGAUAUGAAGGACGACGAGUGGGAGGUGCUUGAUCGAAAAGCACUCGGCGCAAUCAGACUGACCUUAUCAAAGUCAGUCGCCUUCAACAUAAAGCAUGAGAAGACAACAGCGUCUCUCAUGAAAGCUUUAUCCAGCAUGUACGAGCAGCCGUCUGCAGCAAAUAAAGUUCAUUUGAUCAAGAAAUUGUUCAAUAUGAAAAUGACGGAGAGCGGAAGAUUUGGAGAACAUUUGAACGAGUUCAACGAAGUGACGGACCAACUUACCACGGUGGACAUCAAAUUCGAUGAUGAGGUCCGGGCUUUGUUAAUUGUUGGGCAGUUACCUGAGAGCUGGAAUGGCACAGUUACGGCCAUUAGCAGCUCUGCCGGUAAGUCCAAAAUGAAGUUCGAUGAUGUCGUGAGCAUGAUCUUAACCGAGGAGAUCCGGAGGCAGUCAGAUGUAGUCUCCACUUCAGGUGCCGCUUUAAAUGCAGAAAGCAGAGGCAGAAACUCAAACAGAAGUCAAGGGCGUGGACGGAGCAAGUCAAGGAAUGGCAGGCAGAGCUCCAGGAUCCACAAGAAUUCCAACAAAUCAAAGUCUAGUUGAAUGUUGGAACUGUGGUCAGGUCGGACACUACAGAACGCAGUGUAAAGUACCUUCAAAGGGAAACGAGACAAAGACCGAAGCCAAUGUUGUGGCUGAAGAAGAAGGCGAUGCCUUGAUAUGUUCCAUGGAGAAAAGGGCCGAGUAUUGGGUCAUAGACUCUGGAGCAUCUUUCCAUGCCACCUCGAAUCGAAAUUCCUUCAUAAAUUACAUGUCGGGAAAUUUCGGAGAAGUAUAUCUCGGAGAUGAUCACCCAUGCAGCGUGGUGGGCAUAGGAGAAGUACAGAUCAAACUCAAUGGAUCUGUAUGGAAAUUGAAGGACGUGAGACACAUUCCAGAGUUGAGGAAGAACUUGAUCUCCGUCAAGCAAUUGUCAAGAGAAGGAUGUGAUACACACUUCUCAGGUGAUUAUUGGAAAAUCACUAAGGGCGCAAUGAUUCUUGCAUGUGGCAAGGAUACUGGAAGCCUAUACACAACGAUGAAUGCGUGUGUGACAAUUGCAGUUGCUGAUAGCAAGAAGAAUGCAAAUUUGUGGCACCAAAGACUUGGGCACAUGAGCCAGAAAGGGCUCAAGUAUAUGCAUUCGAAAGGGAAACUACCAGAGCUUCAGUCUGUUGAUAUAGACUUUUGCGAAAGUUGUAUCUACGGGAAGCAGAAGAGGGUGAGUUUCAAUACCAGUGGUAGAACUCCGAAGCAAGUAAAGCUUGAGUUAGUCCACACAGAUGUUUGGGGCCCAGCAGCAGUUUCAUCCAAUGGCGGAAAGUCUUACUUUGUGACUUUCAUCGAUGACCACUCGAGAAGGUGUGGGUUUACUUCUUGAGACACAAGUCAGAGGUGUUCGAGGCGUUCAAGAAGUGGAAGGCCAUGGUGGAAAUGAAACUGGCUUACGGAUAAAGAGUUGAGAUCCGAUAAUGGUGGAGAAUACGAAGAUAUGGCGUUUCAAGUAAUUUUGUUACCAGGAUGGCAUCAAGUUAGAAAGGACGUUGCCAGGGACACCACAACAAAAUGGAGUUGCAGAACGCAUGAACCGGACGUUGACAGAAAGAGCUAGGAGCAUGAGGAUACAUGCAGGACUGCCNAUUAAUUAUAAGGUCAUGUUAUAAUUGAGAAUAAAUUGAAACUUGAUGUAUUUCUGGCCAGACUAUAAAUUCAUGUUAUAAUUGCAAUUAAAUUGAAAAUUGAUGUAUUUCUGGCCAAAUUAUAAGGUCAUGAUAUAAACCAGAAAAUUGACAAAGUAUAUGUAUUUUUUGGCAAUAACCCCAACAAAUUAACCCUAAUUACUAUCAUUUGUAGCCUCGUAGACUUGAGGAUUUAGGACACAUGCCAAAAACAAAGAUAAUAUACAACUCGAUAUUGCAAAGAUAAUUUGUCUUAAAAGUUAACAAUGAAGCACAAUUCAAUUUGUAAGAUUCUUCUCCUUUAAUAUUAGGUUGACGAUUCAACUCAUCGUGACAGAUAAAUGUAGAAUCAUUGUUGAUCUAGUUUAAUUCACAUUUGUGAAGAUAAAUAUUCAUUCAGAAAAGUUUGUGUCACGAGCUUGGACUUAACAAUCUUCAAAUAAGUGAGAAUUAAUUUUUAAAUACCAAAUCAUAAAAUUAAUAAGUUAUAUAGCCUCUUUAUUAAAAGAGAAAUAUUUUUUUAAAAUGCUGAAAAACCAAGAGAAAUUCCCUUUAAAUUGCCCCAAAAAAUUAACUCAAGCUAUCAAAUAAACAACAAAUAUAAAUACCAAAGUCUGGACUAUAAUUUAAGAAGAAUGUUAUAAAUAACAAUGUUUCUGCAUGAUAUAAUAUAUAAACUCUUUUAACUUAAACCCAAUAUAAACAAUAAUAACGAUGCUAAUACUCUUUUAACUGAGCCAUAUCAGAUUAUUCUUAUGCGGAAAAGCUUGAUAACCACUAGUAUAGGAUUCCGGAAGCUCUAUAGAGUCAAGUUGAUGCGUAUCAAGAUUGUAGAAAAUGCAAUGCCGCCGUUGCUUCCCAUAAAAAUUGGCGCCAAAAUAGAAGGCCAAAACAUGUGGAUAUUUAACCCAACCAAGUGGCUUAAGAACUCGAGGAGCAUCUUCAGGAGCAAACCUUUGAAUCCUGCAUUUCUGAGCUCUCAAGUCGACGUUGGGCAGCGCCUUCCUCCACUCGCCCGUCUCUGCCUUCAUCUCCCAAACCUCCCACAACAGAUCCCUACACGCUACCAGCACACACCUCCCAGUCGACAGAUAAUAAUAGUCGCGAUCAUGGUGCUCGUAAGGGGCUUUACUCAGUGUAAUGAUCUCCGUCUCCACAUCCAUCGUAAGGCAGUAUCUCCACCAUCCCCAGUGCACGAAACCUUCACUAGUCAAGGGAGUCUGCUGGAGGAGACUUCGCCUGAGAAAUUCGGGUAAGUGGUGAACCUCGACGUGCCUCCAGGAUUCAUCGAAUCCAACAGUGAGCACGUCGAGAUGGAAGUCCUCUCGUGCGUGUGGUUCAUAGCGGCGAACAAAGGCUGGUCGAAUCACUUUAUAAGCCAAGGAAGCUGCAGAGUAUGCAAAACCAAACAGGAGCAGGCCACAGGCAACAAAGCCUGUAGGCAAUGGUGGGAGGUGGAAUGACUGCUUCGUUGCAGGAUUCACAAUCACAAGACGAGGGAAGUUACCUUCCAACUCCAGACCGUUGCAGGUAGCAAGAACUGUUAGUCAAAAGUGGC
rnacentral:lncRNA from 1 species